GGAUCUGUUACUAAACUCACUGAACAAUUAUGAAGUUCAAACAAAAUCAAGAUUUUAGUUUUUAUGGAGAGGAAACAGGAUGAAGAAAACCCUGACUCCACGACAUCCAACAACUCGAGUGAUUCACUGACGCCACGACAGCCAAUCAGAACGGAGAUCAGCGAACACAGAGACCUGAUCUUAAAUACUGAGACGGUGAUAAAAACGAGUUCGUCUGAAGGAAAGUGAGCGAGGAGGUCGAGAAUUUGGAGAGGUGAGAAAACAUCAAACAACUUCAACCAUGUUUGAGAAGGAAACUCGUCUUCUCUUUGUCGACCUGGUACAGAGUGAGUAAUCCAUCUAAAAGUUAGCUGACAGUAAAUAUUCUUCUUAAAUGGAACAAACUUGUUAGAAAAUGACGUAUUUUUGAUGUUUUAAAGGUUUAUUUUUGAUUAUUUUCAUGCGUUGUACCUUAAACCUCCUGUACUGGCACGUUUUUGAUUGUAAAUGCUUAAAAAAACACUUAAAUCUGCUUUUUUCUGCAUCAAGACUUUGACUUUUUCAGGAACCUCUAUUUCAACAAAAUAAAACUAAAAAAAUAAAUUGACAAAAUUAUAAAAUGCUCUUAUUAAAAUUAUGGCACCUGUCAUGUUAGGGUCGCUGUUGACCCGGUUGGAUCAAAAUCUAAUAAUCAGAGCAAAAACUGAAAUCAUAAGUGCACUGACAGGAAACACACUGACACUCAGAUCCUCCUUCAAUCAUGUGAGAGUUAGUCAAUUCUCAUUUUGUUUUUCUCUGCACAUAAAACAACGUCGGGCAUGUCCAGACAUGUGAGAUCAGUAUAGAUGUCUGUGUGAGGGGUAAACUGACAAAGGAAGGCCCAGAGGACCACAACAAAAAAUACUAUAAGUAAUAUUUCCAUGGAUAAUGAAGCCAGAACAAGGUAACCUAGAGAUGAGAACCAAACUGGAUGAUAGAGAAAUGUUUUUAAUUUACAGCUGAUUUAAGACACGGGUCAAAACCGACCUUAACAUGGUGGGUGUGAAGUAAACGCUCAGUUGAUACUGAGACGGUGAUAAAAAGGAGUUGUGAGGAGGUGGAGUUAUCUGUUGAGGUGAGAAAACAUCAAACAACUUCAAC